GACGAACGCUGGCGGCGUGCCUAAUACAUGCAAGUCGAGCGAAGUUUUUCUGGUGCUUGCACUAGAAAAACUUAGCGGCGAACGGGUGAGUAACACGUAAAGAACCUGCCUCAUAGACUGGGACAACUAUUGGAAACGAUAGCUAAUACCGGAUAACAGUAUUUCUCGCAUGAGAGAUAUUUAAAAGUUGGUUAUGCUAACACUAUGAGAUGGCUUUGCGGUGCAUUAGCUAGUUGGUGGGGUAAAGGCCCACCAAGGCGACGAUGCAUGGCCGACCUGAGAGGGUGAUCGGCCACACUGGGACUGAGACACGGCCCAGACUCCUACGGGAGGCAGCAGUAGGGAAUCUUCCGCAAUGGGCGAAAGCCUGACGGAGCAACGCCGCGUGAGUGAAGAAGGAUUUCGGUUCGUAAAGCUCUGUUGUUAGGGAAGAAUGGAUAUGUAGUAACUAUACAUGUAAGAGACGGUACCUAAACAGAAAGCCACGGCUAACUACGUG
rnacentral:rRNA from 1 species